AGAGUUUGAUCUGGCUCAGGACGAACGCUGGCGGCGUGCCUAACACAUGCAAGUCGAACGAAGCACUGCGGAUAGAGACUUCGGUCAAUUGAAGCUUUGACUUAGUGGCGGACGGGUGAGUAACGCGUGAGGAACCUGCCUUUCAGUGGGGGACAACAGUUGGAAACGACUGCUAAUACCGCAUAAUGUGUUUUGGGGGCAUCCCCAGAACACCAAAGAUUUAUUGCUGAAAGAUGGCCUCGCGUCUGAUUAGAUAGUUGGUGGGGUAACGGCCUACCAAGUCGACGAUCAGUAGCCGGACUGAGAGGUUGAACGGCCACAUUGGGACUGAGAUACGGCCCAGACUCCUACGGGAGGCAGCAGUGGGGGAUAUUGCACAAUGGGGGAAACCCUGAUGCAGCAACGCCGCGUGAGGGAAGAAGGUCUUCGGAUUGUAAACCUUUGUUUUUAGUGACGAAAAAAUGACGGUAGCUAAAGAGGAAGCCACGGCUAACUACGUGCCAGCAGCCGCGGUAAUACGUAGGUGGCAAGCGUUGUCCGGAAUUACUGGGUGUAAAGGGCGUGCAGCCGGGCCGACAAGUCAGAUGUGAAAUCCCGAGGCUUAACCUCGGAACUGCAUUUGAAACUGUUGGUCUUGAGUAUCGGAGAGGUCAUCGGAAUUCCUUGUGUAGCGGUGAAAUGCGUAGAUAUAAGGAAGAACACCAGUGGCGAAGGCGGAUGACUGGACGACAACUGACGGUGAGGCGCGAAAGCGUGGGGAGCGAACAGGAUUAGAUACCCUGGUAGUCCACGCUGUAAACGAUGGAUACUAGGUGUGCGGGGACUGACCCCCUGCGUGCCGCAGUUAACACAAUAAGUAUCCCACCUGGGGAGUACGAUCGCAAGGUUGAAACUCAAAGGAAUUGACGGGGGCCCGCACAAGCGGUGGAUUAUGUGGUUUAAUUCGACGCAACGCGAAGAACCUUACCAAGUCUUGACAUCCCUCUGACCGGAACUUAAUCGUUCCUUUCCUUCGGGACAGAGGAGACAGGUGGUGCAUGGUUGUCGUCAGCUCGUGUCGUGAGAUGUUGGGUUAAGUCCCGCAACGAGCGCAACCCCUAUCCCCAGUAGCCAGCGGUCAGGCCGGGCACUCUGGGGAGACUGCCAGGGAUAACCUGGAGGAAGGUGGGGAUGACGUCAAAUCAUCAUGCCCCUUAUGAUUUGGGCUACACACGUGCUACAAUGGCGUAAACAAAGGGAAGCGAGACUGUGAAGUUAAGCAAAUCUCAGAAAUAACGUCUCAGUUCGGAUUGUAGUCUGCAACUCGACUACAUGAAGCUGGAAUCGCUAGUAAUCGCAGAUCAGAAUGCCGCGGUGAAUACGUUCCCGGGUCUUGCACUCACCGCCCGUCA
rnacentral:rRNA from 1 species